rnacentral:rRNA from 1 species
UCCGUAGGUGAACCUGCGGAAGGAUCAUUAACACGUAUCCACGUAUCAACCCCUCUGUGAAAACUAAACACCUGUAAGGCUUGGUCUUAGUAUGUUGUUCGCAUGAGUCCUAAUGAUGGAGGCUUUGCUUUCGGGCAUUGCCUAGGGCUUGAAUGACAUGUGUUUGACGUCCAGCCGCCACUUUUCCAUCGUUGGCCCCUUUAAACCAUUUAACCCCUUGUACUUUUUGUACUGAACCAAUUCUUCGAUGCACUUCUUAACGGAAGAGCGACGAAAGAUAUUACGAAACUUAAGAACAACUCUUAGCAACGGAUAUCUUGGUUCCCGCAACGAUGAAGAACGCAGCGAAAUGCGAUACGUAAUGCGAAUUGCAGAAUUCAGUGAAUCAUCAAAUCUUUGAACGCAAAUUGCACUCUCGGGUAUGCCCGGGAGUACGCUUCUUUCAGUAUCGGUUCUAUCUAAACUCGCCUGCGUUUUUACGAACACUGGCGGAAAUUGAGUGUCACACUUUAUCUCGAAGUGUGUUACUUGAAAGGUAGAAGCGGUAGUUCCCUUCUCUCUUCGAGAGAACUCAUUGGUUCUUCCUAAUCUUCGGACUAGGCUGAGUCAAACUGAGUGACGUGGUUAAGUUCGCCUCGUGCGACACCGCCAUCGUCAACUAUCUCAGCGCGAUUUAGUUGGAUCAAAUCGAGUGCGGAACGUCAUUACCGUUCUUUGGAUUAUUUACUCCAAACAACAAAAUCAGAUCUGAAAUGAAGUGAGAGGACCCGCUGAACUUAAGCAUAUCAAUAAGCGGAGGA